CUGACAGAUUGCCAGUUCUCCUUGGUGUCUCUCCCAGAUUCCUAACCCCUUCCCUAAGGGCACUCUCUGCUCAGGGGAGUGAGGAUCAGUCUUUGUUAGCUCAGUCCUCAAGAGGGACACUCAGGUGCAUGACCCUCCGGCAUCUCUGCCCCACAGCCCUCAUAGCUUCCAAAUAUCCACUGCAGCUUCUAGAGGCUGCCUUUGUAAGGGCAGACAGGUAGAAGGAAGGCUUCUGGGUUGCCAGGUCACUCUGCAGGAGACCAGUGGCAUUUCUAUCAGAAAUCUAGCAUGUUCUCUCCCAUUCAGGUAUCACAUCUCAGGUACACACCCCCCCACACAAGUAAACUCAGAGGAGUCUGCCUUACCCACUGGAGAUUCCUGGGCCCUUCUCACUAACUAAGCCCUUCUCUACCUGGGGCCUCCUGGGCCACUGUGUCCCCAAUCCCAGGGCAGAGACACCAGGAAGGCUGUUUGGGGGCCCAGGGACAGCUGCUGCUCUUUGUCAGGCAUCAACUCCCUCGACCCCUACAAGUCUCAGCCUCUGUCUGGGGCAUCCCUUAGAACCUCAGUCUCCAGUUUGGGGUGGGGCUACCAGGAGGGACUCGGGGGACAGAGGCAGAAAAACGGAGUUACUGAGAGGUCUCGAGCAAUUCAGAAAUGGCAGAAAGACAGGAAGAACGCGGAGGCUGGGAGCAGAGGGGCUCUAAGACCCCUCACCUCCCCCUGCUCCACCACGCUGCCAAGGAAGUUUUACAGGUGUGACGCGAGACUCUGAGGGGUGAAGCGACACGCCCUGAGCCACAUCGUCCGGGAUUCCACCCGGCACCAUCUCAAGCUGGAGCCCUCGCUCUGGAAAAGGAAGGGAAGAGGGGGCUUUCUCUAGGAUUCUGG
rnacentral:lncRNA from 1 species